UUGACACGCAAGUAACGUGUAAUUUAAGAGCUUGAUCCGAAACUUUGCAAACAAUUGUAUUUAAUAUUUAUUAUUGCCUGGUCUAAAAGUAUUAGAUUUGCAUUGGUAAAAGAAAUGCGAUGUGGAAGUCCUUGACAUUGACAUCGUAGCAACUUUCGGCGAGACAAAUGACUCAGAUGGUCUCUGCUUCCUUUUUUAAUCCUUGAGGCCGACCUAUUCACUUUCGGAGGAGCUGACCGCCUUGGAAGAGACGGAGCUUCAAUUGCAACAUUCCAGACAAAGUGAGGCGAAUCUUCAAAUGGCUUAUGGCGGUGUAAACGGCCUGAUUUUCUCCAUAUGGAUUGUGUAUGAAUCAUUCAAGGGAUUUUAGUACAGGGAAACCAACUUUAAAAUAGAAGUGCGCUAGAAUGUUGUAUGAUUAGGCGAUAUGAGGAAUAAGCACCAGCUGAAAGAUAUGAAGAGUAAACACCAGCUGAAAGCUCUGCUUCCUGAACACAAAUGCUGCCAUUAAGCAUAAGGCAACGGCAGAUGAUUAGGAAUAGUCUCUUGUCGUGGCCAAUGGUUUUGCUCUUCACUGGACAGUGAUUCAAUUGACGUGCUGAUUCAGGCAUUGAGAUUGACUUCAAGUAAGGAUGAGAAACUUCUCUUACACAUGAAUAAUAUGACAUAAAUAGAUAAUGAUGCAUUGAGGAGGUGGCUUAAAGAUUUAAUAAUACCAGCAGAGUUUCAAAGUUUGUCUUGAUUGAUUUCAUCAUAAAAGGGAUUCUUUGUGCUGCUAAAAUUUGGUGUCGACAUUGCCUCAAUUCCUUCAUCCCUUUCAGCAUUUUCAUAACAUUAACCCUCUUCUUGCCCUUACCAUUAGAAAGUUUUGGGAAUUGAGGUGUUGCAAGUUCCACUUCAUCAUCAACCAUCAUGUAAUGUGGGUACUUCUUGGAUCCUGAAGAUUCAAAAGGUGUUCCCACUAUACCAUCUAAUGCACUAUUAGUUAGAAAGACUUUUGGAAGAAUUAAGUCCAAAAUGAAUCAUUAUGUUUGAAUUUUUUUAUGACAUAUUUAUUCAUCAUUAGCAAUAUUUCACGCU